GACGAACGCUGGCGGCGUGCUUAACACAUGCAAGUCGAACGGAAAGGCCCUGCUUUUGUGGGGUGCUCGAGUGGCGAACGGGUGAGUAUCACGUGUGUAACCUGCCCUUGACUUUGGGAUAACUUCAGGAAACUGGGGCUAAUACCGGAUAGGAUCUCCUGCUGCAUGGGGUUGGUUGGAAAGUUUCGGCGGUUGGGGAUGGACUCGAGGGUUAUCAGCUUGUUGGUGGGGUUGUGGCGUCCCAGGGCUUUGACGGCUAGGCGGCCUGGGAGGGUGGCCGGCCACCUUGGGCCUGCGAUACGGCGCAGACUCGUACGGGAGGCAGCAGUGGGGAAUAUUGCAGAAUGGGCGGACGCCUGAUGCAGCAACGCCGCGUGCGGGAUGACGGCCUUCGGGGUGUAAACCGCUUUCGCCUGUGACGAAGCGUGAGUGACGGUAAUGGGUAAAGAAGCAACGGCUAACUACGUG
rnacentral:rRNA from 1 species